UCGACCUCAGAUCAGACGAGAUGACCCGCU
rnacentral:rRNA from 2 species